rnacentral:rRNA from 1 species
UACGUAGGGGGCAAGCGUUGUCCGGAAUCAUUGGGCGUAAAGAGCGCGUAGGCGGCCAGAUAAGUCCGCUGUGAAAUCUCGAGGCUCAACUUCGAGCUGUCGGUGGAAACUGUCUGGCUAGAGUCCGGAAGAGGAGAAUGGAAUUCCUGGUGUAGCGGUGAAAUGCGCAGAUAUCAGGAAGAACACCCGUGGCGAAGGCGGUUCUCUGGGACGGUACUGACGCUGAGACGCGAAAGCGUGGGGAGCGAACCGG